rnacentral:misc_RNA from 1 species
GAUGAAGAACGUAGCGAAACGCGAUAUUUCUUGUGAAUUGCAGAAGUGAAUCAUCAGUUUUUGAACGCACAUUGCACUUUGGGGUAUCCCCCAAAGUAUACUUGUUUGAGCGUUGUUUCUCUCUUGGAAUUGCUUUGCUCUUCUAAAAUUUCGAAUCAAAUUCGUUUGAAAAACAACACUAUUCAACCUCAGAUCAAGUAGGAUUACCCGCUGAACUUAAGCAUAUCUAAGCGGAGGA